GGCAAAAUUUUGGAGAAAGAGAGAAGCAAACGACAGAGUCAGGGGGGGUUUUUGGGCAGAGAGAAAGAUAAGAACAUGGGGUAAUUUUUGGUGUGAAAGAGAGGAACGAACCAAGGAAUUUUGAGGGUGCAAGGAGAGUGAAAGAACAGAAAAAGCCGAAACCAACAGAGAAACAGAGGAGAGGAAGAACCACCGGCUGCGGUCCACAUAGCCGCCACCAUCGCCUCCACCGUUCCUCCCAGUCACCCCCGACAGCACCAUCAUCGUCCAAAAAUAGAAGAAGAGACGGAGAAGUGAGAGGAAGAAAAAUACAGAGAAACAGAGACUGCGGUCUCUGCACAGAGAAGAAGAAGAA
rnacentral:lncRNA from 1 species